GUGACCUCAAAUCAGGUAGGACUACCCGCUGAACUUAAGCAUAUCAAUAAGCGGAGGAAAAGAAACUAACAAGGAUUCCCCUAGUAACUGCGAGUGAAGCGGGAAAAGCUCAAAUUUAAAAUCUGGCGGUCUUAUGGCUGUCCGAGUUGUAAUCUAGAGAAGUGUUAUCCGCGCUGGACCGUGUACAAGUCUCCUGGAAUGGAGCAUCAUAGAGGGUGAGAAUCCCGUCUUUGACAUGGACUGCCAGGGCUUUGUGAUGCGCUCUCAAAGAGUCGAGUUGUUUGGGAAUGCAGCUCAAAAUGGGUGGUAAAUUCCAUCUAAAGCUAAAUAUUGGCGAGAGACCGAUAGCGAACAAGUACCGUGAGGGAAAGAUGAAAAGAACUUUGGAAAGAGAGUUAAACAGUACGUGAAAUUGCUGAAAGGGAAACGCUUGAAGUCAGUCAUGUCAUCCAGGGAUCAACCUUGCUUUUGCUUGGUGCACUUUCUGGUUUGACGGGUCAGCAUCAAUUUUGACCAUUGGAAAAAGGUUGAGGGAAUGUGGCAUCUUUGGAUGUGUUAUAGCCCUUGGUCGUAUACAAUGGUUGGUAUUGAGGAACUCAGCACGCCGCAAGGCCG
rnacentral:rRNA from 1 species